CUGGUAUUAACUAUUCCUGGUAAAUCGCGGAGAAGAGUGGCUUGAACAAAAAAGUCAGACCGUGACUAGAACCACCAGCAGCGUAACAAGGAAAUCUCGGAGCAAAGAGACGUCGAGUGGUUCGUGUUGUCCGGUUUGGACAUCAGCGGUAAAGCGAACGUUGUGUGUACUAUUGCAAAAUAUAUAGCGGAUCUCCACGGUUAGGAUACAGACCACAACGCUUUGGACGUAUCUUUAAAAAAGAGAAAAAUCAGAGACUUUUUGGAUUUGUCUGGGGGACAUUUUAAACAUUUUGUGACAAAAUGGAUUUAAAACAUUUCGGAUAUUGGAUACCUAGUUUGAUAUGUCCACAGAGAUUGUUUAAGACGUUUUCACCUCAUUUUAGGGUUUAUUUUUAAUUAAAGGCUUCUUAAAACAUGUAUGAAAAUGUGUAUAUUAUACAAUGAGUCUUAUAUUGUCUGC